UACGUAGGUGGCAAGCGUUGUCCGGAUUUACUGGGCGUAAAGAGCGCGCAGGCGGUCGUUCAAGUCGCGUGUGAAAGCCCCCGGCUCAACUGGGGAGGGUCACGCGAUACUGAUCGACUGGAAGGCAGGAGAGGGUAGUGGAAUUCCCCGGUGUAGUGGUGAAAUGCGUAGAUAUCGGGAGGAACACCAGUGGCGAAGGCGACUACCUGGCCUGUUCUUGACGCUGAGGCGCGAAAGCUAGGGGAGCAAACGGGG
rnacentral:rRNA from 1 species